UAUGUGAUCGUCUCUCGCAUAUCAAUAAGCGGAGGAAAAGAAACUAACAAGGAUUCCCUUAGUAACGGCGAGUGAAGCGGGAAGAGCUCAAAUUUGAAAUCUUCAAGGUUUUACCUUGACGAAUUGUAGUUUAAAGAAGUGUUUUCUGUUGAAGUUUUGGUAAAAGUUCUUUGGAAUAGGACAUCAUAGAGGGUGAGAAUCCCGUAUUUGGCCAUUAUUUUCAGCUGUGUGAUACACUUUCAAAGAGUCGGAUUGUUUGGGAAUGCAGUCCAAAAUGGGUGGUAAAUUUCAUCUAAAGCUAAAUAUUGGCGAGAGACCGAUAGCGAACAAGUACCGUGAGGGAAAGAUGAAAAGAACUUUGAAAAGAGAGUUAAACAGUACGUGAAAUUGUCAAAAGGGAAGCGUUUGACACCAGUGUUGUUUUCUCGAAAAUCAAUUAAAAAGAGUUAGAUUUUGUUGUGUAUUGACCUUAACAGCUUGCACUAUCAAUUUUCUUGCUUUUUUUAAUGCACUUUUCGUUUAACAAGUCAACAUCAGUUUCUUUUGUUGUAAAAAGGUCAUUGGAAGGUGGCUUUCUUUUCGGAGAAAGUGUUUAUAGCCUUUGACUCCUGCAAUCGGAGAGACUGAGGUCUGCAGCGUAGAUCCUUCGGGGUUAGAUACAUUUGUGCUAAGUUAUAGCUUUUUAUAGACAACUUGUUGACUAUGAUUAGUCUUGUAGCUUACUCGCUUAUGCUAUUUUACCUACGCUUAGGAUGUUGAAGAUGUAGCACAUCAU
rnacentral:rRNA from 1 species